UCCCCUACGGGGCGCAGCAGUGAGGAAUAUUGGUCAAUGGGAGGAAUCCUGAACCAGCCAUGCCGCGUGCAGGACGACGGCUCUACGAGUUGUAAACUGCUUUUGUACCGGGGUAAAAUGCCUUACGAGUAGGGUUUUGAAAGUACGGUACGAAUAAGGAUCGGCUAACUCCGUGCCAGCAGCCACGGUAAUACGUAGGGAGCAAGCGUUAUCCGGAAUUAUUGGGUGUAAAGGGUGCGUAGACGGGACAGCAAGUUAGUUGUGAAAGCCCUCGGCUUAACUGAGGAACUGCAACUAAAACUAUU
rnacentral:rRNA from 1 species